GUGGUUUUGCGCUUCUUAUAGUGGUGAGUUUGGAGUUUUUCAAUGGGAGAAGGUGCAGUUUGUCUGGAUAUCUCGACAGAGGUGAUGGGUCUUGGACAACAGAAUACAGGAAUAACUGAAUUGAAGAGAGACCAUCAAUCUCUGAUAGAUGACACCGAACCAGAACCGUUUCCUAACAAGAAACAAGCCAGAGAAGCUUCAAAUGAGGACAUAAAAUCUGAAGUUUCCAAUCCUUUAAUUUCUCCAAAAGAAAAUGCAUCCAGUUGCCAGGAUAUCACUAGCCAACCAACUGAAUUGGCUACAUGUAAGCAACUGGGUGCUGGCGAGGUCACAUCCACGUGUUCUGGAAAUUCGAGUCCGAGGGACACCCUAAGCGAGGAUGGAGAACGUAACAGUCAGAACAAUGCCUCUCAAUGUGAGUUUGCUCGCAGUGGAACUUCUGAUGUGGUCUCUACAUCUCAUGUUGUACUGGAGAUUCCUAAGCAUGCUAGUUCGUCUGGAAUUAGGAAGAUUACAUUCAAGUUUAGCAAAAGAAAAGAGGAUUAUGACACCCAGAAUUUUACUUCAGUUGCUAAUCCUGUAGGUAAUCGGAUGGGUCGAAAACAGUAUAGUAAAGAACGUGGGAAAAACUACUCUGCUUGGGUUAAUUCAGGUGCAGAAAUGCUUGAAAAUGGAAAUAGAUAUUUCUGUGCUCCCAAUAUGGAAUUGAAGAUGUCUAAGAAGGUUGUUCCCAGCAACUACCCUACAAAUGUCAAGAAGUUGUUAUCAACCGGUAUACUUGAUGGAGCUCGGGUGAAAUAUUUUUCUCCAGAGCGAGAGCUAGAUGGAAUUAUAGAUGGUGGUGGAUACUUGUGUGGCUGUUCAUCAUGUAAUUUCUCAAAAGUUCUUAGUGCCUAUGAGUUUGAGCAGCAUGCUGGCGGCAAAACUAGACAUCCAAACAAUCACAUAUACUUGGGUAAUGGGAAACCAAUUUGCAGUAUUAUUCAUGAACUAAAAACUGCUCCACUUAGUGCAUUGGAUGAAGUGAUAAAGGAUGUGGCUGGGUCGUCCAUAAAUGAGGGGGUCUUCCAGGUUUGGAAAGCUAGUCUUCAACAAAGCAAUGGAAUAAGUGGAGCAGAGAAAAGAUUUUACAACAUUCCUUGUUCACCUCUUUCACUUGGAAGCUACUCCAGUCAAGCUUUAGAAGAAAGCUUUUGCCUUGCUUCAAGCUCCUUGAAUAACAACCCCUUUAGACAAGAAAAAUAUAUAGAGAUGCCAGAAGAGCAAAAGCGUGCAUUGAAGCGGCCUAGCUUACUUAUGCAACAAAAGAAAACAAAUGAAGGAGGCACUAAGAGAAGGGAUAAUGAUCUUCACCGCUUACUUUUCAUGCCAAAUGGUCUUCCAGAUGGUGCUGAAUUGGCUUAUUUUGUCAAAGGACAAGAACUGUUGGCUGGUUACAAGCAAGGAAAUGGUAUAGUCUGCAGUUGCUGUGACAGAGAGAUAAGCCCAUCUCAAUUUGAAGCUCAUGCUGGAAUGGCUGCCAGGCGUCAACCAUAUCGCCACAUAUAUACUUCCAAUGGCUUGACCCUCCAUGAUAUAGCCAUUUCAUUGGCGAAUGGGCAAAGCAUUACUACUGGUGUAAGUGAUGAUAUGUGCGCAAAAUGUGGUGAUGGAGGGGAUCUUAUCUUUUGCGAGAGUUGCCCUCGAGCUUUUCAUCUAGCAUGUUUGGGUUUGCAGUGCGUUCCUAAUGGAGUUUGGCAGUGUUCAAACUGUAAUAAGUUUGAACACGGAGGAAACAUUACGAGACCAAUUGUCAUUCGGUUGACACGAGUUGUUAAAACUCCAGAAUAUGAAGUUGGUGGUUGUGUUUUUUGCAGAGCUCAUGAUUUUAGCACAAAUAACUUUGAUGACCGAACAGUUAUCCUUUGUGACCAAUGUGAGAGGGAGUUCCAUGUUGGUUGCUUGCGGGACAAUGGACUAUGUGAUCUAAAAGCUCUCCCCAAGGGUAAUUGGUUCUGUUCUAAUGACUGCAAUCGGAUCUAUAUGGCUCUAAGGAAUUUUGUUUCUAGCGGAAUACAGUUAAUUCCUGCGUCACAGUUGAAUAUCAUAACUAGAAAGCAUGCUGAGAAAGGAUCAUCUAUGGAAGGACUAGCAAAUGAUGAUGUUCAAUGGCGGAUUCUGAUGGGAAAAAGUCGUGACAAAGAAGAUCUUUCAUUGUUGUCAUCAGCUGCUGCAAUUUUUCGAGAGUGUUUUGAUCCCAUCGUUGCAAAAAGUGGUCGUGAUCUGAUUCCUGUUAUGGUCUAUGGGAGAAAUAUUUCCGGCCAAGAAUUUGGGGGGAUGUACUGUGUGCUAUUGCUAGUAAGGAAUGUUGUUGUUUCAGCUG
rnacentral:misc_RNA from 1 species